rnacentral:rRNA from 1 species
UCUUGUGCAAUAAACGAAAGUAUGACACAGAGAGGACACAUUUAAUUGAGCCCGUCAAAUUAAGUGCCAGCCGACGCGGUUAAACUUAAGGGCUGGUCUUUAUAAGUAAAAAGGCGUAAAGGAUGUGUAGGCCAAGAAACGAUCCAAGUAGGUAAAUGGAAUUUUUCUGGAGCGGUAGAAUGUGAGGAUAGAAAAUAGAACCCCUAAGGUAAAAACUAUUUACUACAAGGUAGGCUGAAACAUGAGAGUGUGGGGAGCAAACAGGAUUAGAGACCCUGGUAGUCCACACUGUGAACUUUGAAGAUGAUGCUUAGCAGACCCGAAAGGUAAAAUCUUCCGCCUGAGUAGUACGAUCGCAAGAUUAAAAUUCAAAAACUUUGGCUGUUCACUAUUUCGAUUAGAGGAGCGUGUAGUUUAAUUCGAUGGUCCGCGUGUUACCUUACCCCAACUUGAAUCUGUGACCGGUAUUGCAUGGCCGUCGUAAGUUCGUGUAUUAAGCUAGAAGGGACCCAACCCGGGCACUUGCCCGGAGGAAGUCAGGUCUUAUGAUCCGAAUGUUGGGGGAUUUUAUGCGCUACAUUUUCUUAUAUAAUGAGAAACCUGGAAGGUGAAUCUCUAAAGUAAGAGUUCGGAAGGUCGCUGUAAGACGACUGGAAGUUGGAUUUAAUAGUAAUCGGAAAGUAGGGCGUUCCGGUGAAUUGGUACAAGUGUUAGCACAAAUUGCCCGUCACCUUUACUUAGAAGGUUAUUCG